rnacentral:rRNA from 1 species
UUCCUUCGGGAGCAAUUAAAGUGGCGCACGGGUGAGUAACGCGUAGACAAUCUGCCCUUCAGUCUGGGACAACUUUUCGAAAGGAGAGCUAAUACCGGAUAACAAUGCAUGACACAAGUUGUAUAUUUGAAAGCUUUAUGUGCUGAAGGAGGGGUCUGCGUCCCAUUAGCUAGUUGGUAGGGUAAAGGCUUACCAAGGCAACGAUGGGUAGCGGGUUUGAGAGGACGAUCCGCCACACUGGAACUGAGACACGGUCCAGACUCCUACGGGAGGCAGCAGUGGGGAAUAUUGCACAAUGGAGGAAACUCUGAUGCAGCAAUGUCGCGUGAGUGAAGAAGGCCCUUGGGUCGUAAAGCUCUUUUAUGGGGGAAGAUGAUGACGGUACCCCAAGAAUAAGCACCGGCUAACUAUGUGCCAGCAGCCGCGGUAAUACAUAGGGUGCGAGCGUUGUUCGGAAUUACUGGGCGUAAAGGGCGCGCAGGCGGAAUAGUAAGUCGGAGGUGAAAGCCCGGGGCUCAACCCCGGAGGGUCUUUCGAAACUACUAAUCUAGAGAGGGUCAGGGGCCGGCAGAAUUCCUGGUGUAGAGGUGAAAUUCGUAGAUAUCAGGAGGAAUACCGGUGGCGAAGGCGGCCGGCUGGGGCCACUCUGACGCUGAGGCGCGAAAGCGUGGGGAGCAAACAGGAUUAGAUACCCUGGUAGUCCACGCCGUAAACGAUGAGCACUGGACGUCCGGAGGGUUCGACCCUUCUGGGUGUCUCANCUAACGCAUU